AACGAACGCUGGCGGCAGGCCUAACACAUGCAAGUCGAGCGCGCCCUUCGGGGUGAGCGGCGGACGGGUGAGUAACGCGUGGGAACGUGCCCUUCUCUGCGGAAUAGCCUCGGGAAACUGAGAGUAAUACCGCAUACGCCCUUUGGGGGAAAGAUUUAUCGGAGAAGGAUCGGCCCGCGUUGGGUUAGGUAGUUGGUGGGGUAAUGGCCCACCAAGCCGACGAUCCAUAGCUGGUUUGAGAGGAUGAUCAGCCACACUGGGACUGAGACACGGCCCAGACUCCUACGGGAGGCAGCAGUGGGGAAUCUUAGACAAUGGGGGCAACCCUGAUCUAGCCAUGCCGCGUGAGUGAUGAAGGCCUUAGGGUUGUAAAGCUCUUUCAGCUGGGAAGAUAAUGACGGUACCAGCAGAAGAAGCCCCGGCUAACUCCGUG
rnacentral:rRNA from 1 species